ACAAUAUUACCUCCGUCUCAAAAAGCUUGUCUUGGGUUUGUAUCUAGACACGUUCUAGUGUUAGAUACAUCCGUAUCUAGACAAAUCUAAGGCAAGCUUUUUGGGACGGAGGGAGUACAAC
rnacentral:pre_miRNA from 1 species